AGGCAGAUUUUGUGAAUAGGAAAUCCUUUCACAGCAUUAAUGUUCAGAUGGUCUGCAAUGCUGACUGUGUGAUCAGCAAUGUUGUGGCAAAAUGGCCUGGCUCAGUCCAUGACUCCAGAAUCUUUCGGGCCUCUGAAAUCUAUCAGUGCCUAUCACAAGGGGGUAUGGCUG